rnacentral:lncRNA from 1 species
AUGGACAGGACAGGGACAGGGACAGGGACAGGGAUGGGACAGGGAUCGGCAGAGAGGGCACGGACAGGGGGACAGCGGCUCGUGGGGCUCAGGGGACAACACGGGGGUGGGGACACCGGGCAGGGGGAGCUGCGGGCAGGGCGGGGAGUGCGGGGUGCGGGGAGGGACGGAAGGAGGGAAGCGGGGCGGGAUGCGGGGCGGGAUGCGGGGCGGGAUUUAGGGUCAGAUGCAGAGUUAGGAUGCAGGGUUGGUUAUAGGGCGGUACCUGGCGGGGCGGGAUGCAGGCGGGAUUCAGGGUUGGGAUGCAGGUGGGAUACAGGGUUGGGAUGCAGGCGGGAUUCAGGGUUGGGAUGCAGGAGGGAUUCAGGGUUGGUUACAGGAGCAGGUUCUCCCCCGCUGCCUUGCGGAUCCCCACCCUGCGCACGGGCUGGGACCCCAGGGACGGCUCCGGCCCGGGGCUGCUGGCGGGGGGGGCGGAGCUUUUGGCAGCCACCGAGUCGUGGGUCUCCAGCAGCGACUGGGACACACGGGCGGGUCACCGCGGUGUUCUGCAGGGGGACACGCGACCCCCACGCGACCCCCACGCGACCCCACGCGACCCCCACGCGACCCCCACGCGACCCCACGGGACCCCACGCGACCCCACGCGACCCCACGCGACCCCCACGCGACCCCACGGGACCCCACGCGACCCCACGCGACCCCACGCGACCCCACGCAAAUCCACGCGACCCCCACGGGACCCCACGCGACCCCACGCGACCCCACGGGACCCCCACGGGACCCCACGCGACCCCACGCGACCCCCACGCAACCCCACGGGACCCCCACGCAAACCCACGCGAGCCCAAGAGACUCCACGCGACCCCCACGGGACCCCCGGGACCCCCACGGGACCCCACGGGACCCCCACGCAACUCCACGCGACCCCCACUCAACCCCACGCCACCCCACGCAAAUCCACGCAACCCCACGCAACCCCACGCGACCCCACGCGACCCCACGGGACCCCACGGGACCCCCACUCAAUCCCACGCGACCCCCAGGGGACCCCACGCGACCCCACGCGACGCCACGCAAACCCACGAGACACCACGGGACCCCAUGGGACCCCCACGCGACCCCAAAAGACCCCACAAGACCCCCACGCAUUCCCACUCAAUUCCACGCGACCCCCCGGGACCCCACGCGAUCCCCACGGGACCUCCACAAGACCCCACAAGACCCCCACGCAACUUCACUGUGACCAGCACUGCGACCGCCGAGUGUCCGGCACGCGACCGCCACGCGACCGCCACGCGACCGCCACGCGACUGGCACGCGACUGGCACGCGACUGGCACGUGUCCGGCACGCGACCGGCACGCGACCGGCACGCGAUCGGCACGUGUCUGGCACGCGACCGGCACGCGACCGGCACGUGUCUGGCACGCGACUGGCACGUGUCCAGCACGUGUCCGGCACGCGACCGGCACGCGACCGGCACGCGACUGGCACGUGUCUGGCACGCGACCGGCACGUGUCUGGCACGCGACCGGCACGCGACCGGCACGCGACUGACACGUGUCUGGCACGCGACCGGCACGCGACCGGCACGUGUCUGGCACGCGACCGGCACGCGACUGGCACGCGACCGGCACGUGUCUGGCACGCGACCGGCACGCGACUGGCACGCGACCGGCACGUGUCUGGCACGCGACCGGCACGCGACCGGCACGCGACCGGCACGCGACUGGCACGCGACCGGCACGUGUCUGGCACGCGACCGGCACGCGACUGGCACGCGACCGGCACGUGUCUGGCACGCGACCGGCACGCGACCGGCACGCGACCGGCACGCGACCGGCACGCGACCGGCACGUGCCGGGGGUCCCGCCGCCCCCCGUUUUGGGUCCCGCCGCCCCCCGUCCCGGUCCGUUCGGUCCCGCAGGAUCCGGGCCAGCUCCGCCGCCGCUGCCCGCGCGUCCGGCCGCGCCAGGCGCCCGAUGUCCCGCAGGAUCUCCUGCACCAGCGCCAGGUUGUCCCCGCGCACCGCCUGCAGCUGCCGCUCCUCCAGCCGCUCGUGCGCCUGGGGACAGCGGGGACACCCCCGGGGACACCGCCGGGGACACCUCCGGGUGGAAUUCCGCUUCCCCCUUUUCCCCUUUUCCUUUUUCCCCCGUUUCCCCCUAUUUUUUUUCUCAGUUUUUCGGCAUUCCCGGAGCCAAAGGGAGAGCGCUGCUUCCCUCUAGCGGCUGCGGGGACAGAGGGGACAGGGACAGGGAUGGGAAAGGGAAGGCUGAGCGUGGAAAUAUCCCAAAUAUCCAUGGAAAUAUCUCAGAUAUCCACGGAAAUCUCGUGUUUUCUGAAAAGGAUCACAUCAAUCCAUGGAAAUAUCUCAGAUAUCCAUGGAAAUAUCUCAAAUAUCAAUGUAAAUAUCUCAGUUAUUCACGGAAAUAUCUCCGAUAUCCACGGCAAUAUCUCCGAUAUCCAUGGCAAUAUCUCCUGGAGGUGUCACACUCUGCUCAGCGGUGCCAGGACGAGGAGCAAUGGCCAGAAACCAAACCCCGAGCGCCACCUGCACGGGACAAGGAGCUGUCCACGGGCCCGGGGUGUCCCUCUGGACCCCGACAUUCCAACCCCAGCCGUGCCACCCGCUCCGGGUGGGCUGUGUGACCUUCCGAGCUCCCUCCCCAGCCUGUUCCGGGAUUCUGGCAGCGGGUGUCCCCCAAAUGUCCCCCGUCCCUCACGUGCCUCCCUUGCAGGACUACAUCUCCCAAGAGCCUUUGCUGCCCUCCAGCCAAUAGCGCGCGGCCUUGCUCAGCCAGCGCGCCCGCCGCGGGGCAUGCCGGGAGUUGUAGUCCGGCCGGCAGCGGGCAGGGCAGCGCGGAACUACAGAUCCCAGCAAGCCGCGGGGGGCGCGGGCCAAUGGGGAGCGCCCGUCUUGGCGCGGCGCGCAGGCGCGGCGGGCGGGUGGCCGCGGAUUCAUGUGGAGGUCAGCGGCGCGGCGGGAGCGGGGGCGGUGGGUCCGGGGCUACCGGGGGGAGCCGAGCCGAGCCGAGCUUAG